rnacentral:rRNA from 1 species
UACGAAGGGGGCUAGCGUUGCUCGGAAUCACUGGGCGUAAAGCGCACGUAGGCGGCUUUACUAAGUCAGGGGUGAAAUCCUGGAGCUCAACUGCCAGAACUGCCUUUGAUAACUGGUGAGCUUGAGUCCGGAAGAGGUGAGUGGAACUGCGAGUGUAGAGGUGAAAUUCGUAGAUAUUCGCAAGAACACCAGUGGCGAAGGCGGCUCACUGGUCCGGUACUGACGCUGAGGUGCGAAAGCGAGGGGAGCAAACAGGGAUUAAGAAACCCGAUG